rnacentral:tRNA from 1 species
AGGUGCAUGGUCUAGUGGUAUGAUUUUCGCUUCGCAUUUCUGUGAAAGGUCCCCGGUUCGAUCCCGGGUGCAUCCA